rnacentral:rRNA from 1 species
AACGAUGAUGCUCCAGCUUUGUUGGGGUGGAUUAGUGGCGAACGGGUGASUAACACGUGAGUAACCUGCCCUCUUCUUUGGGAUAACGGUCGGAAACGGCUGCUAAUACUGGAUAUUCACUCAUUGGCGCAUGUUGGUGGGUGGAAAGGUUUUUCUGGUGGGGGAUGGGCUCGCGGCCUAUCAGCUUGUUGGUGGGGUGAUGGCCUACCAAGGCUUUGACGGGUAACCGGCCUGAGAGGGUGACCGGUCACAUUGGGACUGAGAUACGGCCCAGACUCCUACGGGAGGCAGCAGUGGGGAAUUUUGCACAAUGGGCGCAAGCCUGAUGCAGCGACGCCGCGUGAGGGAUGAAGGCCUUCGGGUUGUAAACCUUUUUCGCUCAUGGUCAAGCCGCA